GCGGCCCUACGGGGCGCAGCAGUGAGGAAUAUUGGUCAAUGGCCGGGAGGCUGAACCAGCCACGUCGCGUGAGGGAAGACGGCCCUACGGGUUGUAAACCUCUUUUGUCAGGGAGCAAGGUGCAGGUCGGGACCUGCUGUGAGAGUACCUGAAGAAAAAGCAUCGGCUAACUCCGUGCCAGCAGCCGCGGUAAUACGGAGGAUGCGAGCGUUAUCCGGAUUUAUUGGGUUUAGAGGGUGCGUAGGCGGACGCUUAAGUCAGCGGUAAAAUUGCGGGGCUCAACCUCGUCGAGCCGUUGAAACUGG
rnacentral:rRNA from 1 species